rnacentral:rRNA from 1 species
UACGAAGGGGACUAGCGUUGUUCGGAAUUACUGGGCGUAAAGGGCUCGUAGGCGGCCAACUAAGUCAGACGUGAAAUCCCUCGGCUUAACCGGGGAACUGCAUCUGAUACUGGAUGGCUUGAGAUUGGGAGAGGGAUGCGGAAUUCCAGGUGUAGCGGUGAAAUGCGUAGAUAUCUGGAGGAACACCGGUGGCGAAGGCGGCAUCCUGGACCAACACUGACGCUGAGGAGCGAAAGCCAGGGGAGCAAACGGG